rnacentral:rRNA from 1 species
GAUGAACGCUGGCGGCGUGCCUAAUACAUGCAGGUCGAGCGAACAGACGAGGAGCUUGCUCCUCUGACGUUAGCGGCGGACGGGUGAGUAACACGUGGAUAACCUACCUAUAAGACUGGGAUAACUUCGGGAAACCGGAGCUAAUACCGGAUAAUAUAUUGAACCGCAUGGUUCAAUAGUGAAAGACGGUUUUGCUGUCACUUAUAGAUGGACCCGCGCCGCAUUAGCUAGUUGGUAAGGUAACGGCUUACCAAGGCAACGAUGAGUAGCCGACCUGAGAGAGUGAUCGGCGACACUGGAACUGAGACACGGUCCAGACUCCUACGGGAGGCAGCAGUAGGGAAUCUUCCGCAAUGGGCGAAGGCCUGACGGAGCAACGCCGCGUGAGUGAUGAAGGUCUUCGGAUCGUAAAACUCUGUUAUUAGGGAAGAACAAAUGUGUAAGUAACUAUGCACGUCUUGACGGUACCUAAUCAGAAAGCCACGGCUAACUACGUG